GAUUAAAUGGACUUACUUUGGCGGUGGAACUGGGGUUAAAACUAAUCUUAAAUAAUCUUGAAUAAACAACAGCGUGCCGAUAGCAAUUGAAAAAUUCGGAAACGAUUUAUUAAUAUUGAAGUAUUGACGGAAUGACACAGAGAAUCGACAACUAUUGGCGAUAAAUUAUUUAUAAGAGCGUUAAACUACAUGCAGUGAGUUAACAUUUCGAAUUUGGAUUAGUCAACCAUAGAUAUCUCAUUCGAAACAAGGACCAAACAUGUCGAAGGCAAAUUCUCGAAAUAUUCCAAUGAACCAUUUGAGAUCCAGGAAAGAAAUAUUGCCUAAAAUUGUACAGCUGGGACAUUCACUUCCUGCGCGAUUUCCGGACGAACUUGACAUCUGGACACCAGUCGAAGUAGUCGACAAUGACAGAAAUAUAAAGACUGCGCGAACACUACCAUCCCGUACCCGAGAAGCAUCGUCUAAAUGUAGGAAGUAUCGAAAUUUAUUUGAAUAUAGUCAACAUAACGAGGAUACAUUUGAAUUAACACGCGGGUUGUGGAAAAUGCCGAGCAUAGGUAAUAACUUUCUACCGUUCCGGAAAUGUAACUCACGAAAGACGUCUGAUGCUCAAGAAGAUAUAGCUCUGUACAGACCCAAAUUUCACCGCUGUAUAAGCAGACUGGUACACGAACACACUGUGAUUUUACCACCCAUCGAAACGUCAGAACGCGUCAAAAGUAACGUGUUUGAUCCUUCAAAUCUGCACGAGAAAAUAUACGUGUUUCGGCGCUACAAAGGGACUGGACAACGAGAACGCUUCGUGCGAGAUGAAAUGCACGUUCCCGACAUAUAUCCACAGUGUUUCACGUGCCGAGAAUGUCAGAAACAAUACACGUCCGAAGUGUACUCACAGUCAUUAACAAAACGGAAAAGUAAGUCUCCCGCAUGCUUGUCAAUAUUGGCUUCAUAUUUAGAAAGCAAUAAAACGGUCCCCACUAGUAAGUCGGGUAAACGACGGACGCUGCAACGUCAGCAUUGUGACGUUCUCGGUGAACGAUACUGCAAGUCGUGUAAGGAGCUACGCAACAAGGGAAUCUCUCGACAGAUUGAAAACUCACUUAUUAACAAUAAUAAGCUCGCGAAUGUACAUUACACGCAGCGUUAUUAAGGGCACUUAGCAUCACAUCCUCCUCCUUAUCAUCAUCAUCAUCAGCAGCAGCAGCAGCAGCCGUGUUUUGGUUAUAUAAGUGUUAUAUAUAUUUUUAAGUCUUGUUGUACGCGAUAAGGGACGAAAGGCAAAAUUAGGCAUUGUUUUGCUAAACAAGUUACCUAUAUAUUUUUUCUAUUUACACGAACUAUGAACUAUUCUUUUACAAAAAGUAUUUUAGUGAAUUAAUAUAUGGUAACCAUUUUCGAGUUUUUCAUGCAAAACACAUUGUCUGCUUUGUUCGUGUGCCAUAUCUGUUUGUUAGGUUAAGUUUUCGCAUGUUGAGAAAUGUUGUGUAUUUUUGUGGCUAAAUCAAAUUUCUGACUUCA